UACGGAGGGUGCAAACGUUGCUCGGAAUCAUUGGGCGUAAAGCGCACGUAGGCGGCUCGUUAAGUCGGAUGUGAAAGCCCUCGGCUCAACCGAGGAAGUGCAUACGAAACUGGCGAGCUUGAAUAUGGAAGAGGGUCGCGGAAUUCCUGGUGUAGCGGUGAAAUGCGCAGAUAUCAGGAAGAACACCCGUGGCGAAGGCGGCUCUCUGGGACGGUACUGACGCUGAGACGCGAAAGCGUGGGGAGCGAACAGG
rnacentral:rRNA from 1 species